AGAGGAAGAAGAUGAAGAACAGCUCCAGGUAUCACCAAAGGUAUCUCUGGAUCUGGAGCUCCACGUUUCUGACCUGCUGGUACUGACCUCAGCGACCUCCAAAGUCUUCAUGUUCUCUCCCUCCUCUUUACCCUCACCCCAGCCAGAGGUUUUUUUUAACUUCCCGGCAACAGGAGGUUUGUUUCCUCACCCCAACUGGAGGUUUUUUUUUUUUUUUUAACUUCCCAGCAAUGGGAAGUUUUUUUCCUCCACAAAUGCUUGAUCUGAUCAAAGAGCAAAAAGAGAGCCUCAAAUAAAUAACAAAACAACAUAU